UACGUAGGGUGCAAGCGUUGUCCGGAAUUAUUGGGCGUAAAGAGCUCGUAGGCGGUCCGUCACGUCGGCUGUGAAAACCCGGGGCUCAACCCCGGGCCUGCAGUCGAUACGGGCAGACUAGAGUGCGGUAGGGGAGACUGGAAUUCCUGGUGUAGCGGUGAAAUGCGCAGAUAUCGGGAGGAACACCGGUGGCGAAGGCGGUUCUCUGGGCCUUACCUGACGCUGAGGAGCGAAAGCGUGGGGAGCGAACAGG
rnacentral:rRNA from 1 species